UACGAAGGGGGCUAGCGUUGCUCGGAAUCACUGGGCGUAAAGCGCACGUAGGCGGCUUUUUAAGUCAGGGGUGAAAUCCUGGAGCUCAACUCCAGAACUGCCUUUGAUACUGGGGAUCUCGAGUCCGGAAGAGGUGAGUGGAACUCCGAGUGUAGAGGUGAAAUUCGUAGAUAUUCGGAAGAACACCAGUGGCGAAGGCGGCUCACUCGGUGC
rnacentral:rRNA from 1 species